ACAAUCAGUAAUAAUACAGGCAGUGGUUUCUGGAUGUAAGCCAACAACAAAACACUUGUCUUUUCUAGAAGCCAUUGUGCAGCGCAUACAGCAGUAAAACCAGCUGACCAAACAUGCUGGAUCUCAGCUUGGGUUGCUAGGUGACAGCACAAUGCUAGUCAAUUGUAACUUUUUGAAACAGCUAAUUUUACACACCAAAAACGUUUGAAUAGGUUUUUUUUUUAAGUGGUUGGGCUGUUUUUAGAAGCAGCUGAGACCUAAAUCUCGGGUGAAUGGGGUCCACCCGGCACUCCUUCUCUGCCAGCUUUCGCUCUUUGUCCAUGUAUGCACCUCGUACCAGUUUGACUCCCAAACAGAAACCUUCAGCCUGUGACAGAUGGAGAGCCUCCAACAGCAGAGGCCUGGAGUCCUGGUUGACAGAUGAGACACUUGUCACAUACAGUCAGUUAGAAGAGGAACAAACAUUGAGCUGACCAGCUGGCAUUAGUAAAAAAUAUAGAGGUUAACACUUUUUUCAGUGAGCUAUUGGAAUUAAAGGUCUACCCAGUGCUCUCUCCAAGGUCUUCCUCAAUCGGAACCGCCAACAUGGGCCUCAGUCCCAGCAAGCUGAUCUUUCCCAUGGACUGGGCGAUCUCCGUCUCGUUUUCUCCGGCCACAAACUGGGCGUAGACGGUGGGCCGCAGCAGCAAAGAGAACCCUCUCCUCCCCAGGAUGGCUCAGCCACAAUUCCUUGGAAAUAUGUUUUAGAAAAACAUGGAAGAAAGAUGCCGUUUUGAUUUUGAUGAUGCUGUAUACAUAUAAAAAAU